rnacentral:lncRNA from 1 species
CCGACACGUUGACCCACUGGUAGUAGACGGCCGCCCAGAACUCGAUGGACACAAAGGGCACCAAAUUGCUGCAGAACUCCUAGAGGUGCCACGAGGUGCUGCAGACGAGGCUCAAGGCCAGGGCCCAGGACAAUGCCACACACAGGAGGCUGAGCAGCCGACAGACCCACGGCUUCACGGCAGAGACGCAGACUAGAGAGGAAACAACAACAACAACAAAAAACACAGAUUUCAUGAGCCACUGUUCAGGGAGGAUUGUGGGACCCUGAGCCUGAAAUCCAUCCAGGUCUCAGCAGGGACCUGUACAGGGCCCUGAGCCUACCCCCAGGACCUCCAUCCGGGUGUCCAGCAGGUGUACAGGGGCCCUGAGCCACCCCCAGGACCUCCAUCCGGGUCUCAGCAGGUGCACAGGGGCCCUGACCCAGAAAUCCAUCUGGGUCUCAGCAGGUACACAAAGGGCCCUGACCCAGAAAUCCAUCCGGGUCUCAGCAGGUGCACGGGGUCCCCAGGAGCUCCAUCCGGGUUUCAGCAGGUGCACAAAUGGUCCUGAGCCUGAAAUCCAUCCAGGUCUCUACAGGUGCAUGGAGCCCUGAGCCCACCCCCAGGACCUCCAUCCUGGUCCCCAGCAGGGGGAGUCAGCGUCCACUCACCCGCUGUGCAGUGUCCAAAUGAACCAGACGUGGUGCGAGAAAAAGGCUGGUGGCUUGCGGGCCCCUCAGGGUAGACACUGCAGCCAUAGGUUCUCAUCUCUCCUCCCUACCCCCAACUAGAGGAGGGGUCACCAGCACACCCUUAACCCUCCUCUCUCUCUCUGCUGAGCCCUCCACGCUUGGCCCAAAGUCCACAGUCUGUGUCAACUCACUGCCUUCUAAAUUCUCAUAAUGGCAUUGCUGUCUUUAUGAUGUCAUGGCCACUGCCUCCUGGGAUUUGGUAUCCAUCUACACUGCCUCCCGGGACUCUAUCCAUCUACACUGCCUUCCGGGGGUCAGCAAGGGCAGGAGGCCAGACUGGGGAGCCAGGGCUGGGAUUUGAACACGGGUCUUCUAAGGGUGACCUGAUUCCCCAAGUUUUCGGAAGACAUUGGAAGCAAGGUCUCUGUCCCAGACCUUGAUCUCUCAGAAUAGCUGUGUCUGGGAUCUGACCUCAUUUUAUGUUGCCAACAUAAGUUCCAUAGACCAGGUAACUACAUUAAAUUCUCAUCCACCAUUAGCUGCAGACAGGCAUUAAUCUAAACUCAGAUCCAGAGAUUAGCCAUUUUUUGAAUAUGAUACAAUGUGUGGGGUUUUGCUUCUGAUUUCUUCUCUCUUUAUUAAAAAAAUAUUUUGACUUUCAUUAUUUUUGUGGUCUUUCAUUUCUUCAUUAAUUUUUAUUGCCAAAUACUAUGCCAUUAUAAAAGAUAUACUGAACUCUGUUUUUCUUGCACAUUAGUAUUUGGGUUGCUUUCAUAUUUGGCUUUCAUGAAUAUUGCUGCAGUGAGCCAUUAUGGGCAUAUAAAUUUUGUAUCUUUUAAUGGCCUACCUGGGAGAUAACCUGCUGAAGCUAUAAAUAGUCCCAUGUAGAACAUGCUGAAAAACUGUCAAAUUAUUUUUCAUAAUGCCUGCACUAUUUUAUUUAGGUAUAUGAUGCUUCCGUGUUCUUAAUGUCCCUGUCAACAUUUAUCUAUGGCUGAAUCAGUCAUUUUACUAUAUAUGAAUUUAUAUCUUCCUGAAGAUUUGAUUGCAUUUCAAAUGACUACUAUUUUUUGCUGUAUUAAAAUUUAAGUCUCUUACUGAAAUCACUGCUUUAUUUUAAAAAUUGCAUGUUCUUAUAUUUUGUAUUUUUCAAAUAUGAAAUCCAAGUUUUUU